GUGUGUGUAUGAUGACGAUUUUAAGUGGGGGUCACCAAUUUUGUUUUGGGAGGUAGGGGAGGUCAUCAAUUUUGUACACAUGCACUAGGGGGACCAACAAUUUUGUACAU